rnacentral:tRNA from 1 species
AAUAAUAAUGGUGUAAAUAAGCAUUUUUUCUUUCCAAGUAAAAGGUUCAUAAUAUGAUUAUUAUUG